rnacentral:lncRNA from 1 species
AUCAAGUGAAGCAGCUAUCACAGGGUCUGGAACAUAGUACAUCCCAGCCUUCUUGCACAUAGAAACACUACACAGCACUUCAGCUGUAUGUUUGGGGGCCAUUUUAAACAGCAAAAUCAUCAACAGGAAGCAGAAAAUUGUAAAAAUUGUGGCACUAAAUAGACCAUGUAAAGGACACAUGUUUGCAAUAAGAAAGCUGAAACAAGAAGGGGGAGUGUCACCUUAUUUGAUCCAGCUAGAAACUCAGGUGCUGGUAUUCCAGCAACACUCAGGCGGCUGCUCCAGGAGGCUGCAGAGGGGUCCUUUUUAGCCGUCAACAAAACUGGCUAUGGUCACGCCCAUUGGGAAACUCAUUGCUGCCUUCAAGGACUCAGAAGCUGUAGGAAUAUUCAGGCACAGACACCAGACCCAGCUUCAUCUCUAACUUGUGGCAAAGGACAGUACAUCCUGGGAUGGGACCCUAUGCUCCCCUAUGCCAUUUAGACAGAGCCUGGGGAGAGUGACUUCCCAGGGUAUCCAUGUUGGAAUCUCUCAUUUGAUUCUUAUUCAAAUGUAAGUCAUUCUCCGAGGCCCAUAUAAAGUCAACCUCAUCCUUGAAGCUUUGGGUUUUAUUUCUUUAAUGUGCUUUGUGUAUACAUUAAUACUUAAAAUUGAAAUCUGGACAAAAGAAACUGUGUCUCUCGUAAUGUAGUGAUUCACAUAUAAUAGGUUCUUGGUACUUACUGAAUGACGAAUGAUUGAAUCAAUUAGCAGAUGGAUGGAUGGAUGGACGGAUGGAUAGAUAUGUU